rnacentral:rRNA from 1 species
AUUGAACGCUGGCGGCAGGCCUAACACAUGCAAGUCGAGCGGAUGACGGGAGCUUGCUCCUUGAUUCAGCGGCGGACGGGUGAGUAAUGCCUAGGAAUCUGCCUGGUAGUGGGGGACAACGUUUCGAAAGGAACGCUAAUACCGCAUACGUCCUACGGGAGAAAGCAGGGGACCUUCGGGCCUUGCGCUAUCAGAUGAGCCUAGGUCGGAUUAGCUAGUUGGUGAGGUAAUGGCUCACCAAGGCGACGAUCCGUAACUGGUCUGAGAGGAUGAUCAGUCACACGGGAACUGAGACACGGUCCAGACUCCUACGGGAGGCAGCAGUGGGGAAUAUUGGACAAUGGGCGAAAGCCUGAUCCAGCCAUGCCGCGUGUGUGAAGAAGGUCUUCGGAUUGUAAAGCACUUUAAGUUGGGAGGAAGGGUUGUAAGCUAAUAUCUUGCAGCUUUGACGUUACCAACAGAAUAAGCACCGGCUAACUCUGUGCCAGCCGCCGCAGUAAAAC